UACGAAGGGGGCUAGCGUUGUUCGGAUUUACUGGGCGUAAAGCGCACGUAGGCGGAUCGUUAAGUCGGGGGUGAAAUCCUGGAGCUCAACUCCAGAACUGCCUUCGAUACUGGCGAUCUCGAGUCCGGAAGAGGUGAGUGGAACUCCUAGUGUAGAGGUGGAAUUCGUAGAUAUUAGGAAGAACACCAGUGGCGAAGGCGACUCACUGGUCCGGUACUGACGCUGAGGUGCGAAAGCGCGGGGGAGCGAAACGGG
rnacentral:rRNA from 1 species